CUACCCAAAGCGCCACGAGAGAUCAUCAUCACAAAUGUAGGGGGAAUUGCUGACUGUGAUGGGGUUUACAUGGAUGCUGACACAUCAACACAGAGUGACUACUGGUCCAUCACACCAGAAGAAGCACUGGAAAAUUUGACUUCUCUGAGUGGUGCUGUACAGGAGCUCCAUCCAACCAAGCCCAUUCCAGCUUCAAGAAAAUGUGAGAAACAAAAGCUAAGA